CGGCGGCUCGGAUUGUGUGAGUGGCGGUGCCAUGGUCACCAAACAAGGCGUGCCGACUUUUCGUAACAGGAGAGACAUCGAAACUCACGGCGCAUUCCAGGCAAACUUUAAAAUGCGGGCGGAAAAUUUCUUCCCCGAGUCGUGGCAGAUCAUGCAUCGUGACACCACACAAGACUCAACAAAGCCGCGGAUGCUGACAGCAGUCCUGCUCCGAGGGCCAUUCGAACGGAUCGUGUCGACUGCGAAACGGCAACUUGCACUGGCUUUAACAAUCUACUACGACUUCUUCCACGCCAGGGUCUGGACGGCGGCGGUGGUUGUAACUAACUUGGCAUAGAGGUGCACGCUAUCAAAAGAAAAAUGGUGUUCUUGCUAUCGUCUCCAGUUACAAAAUCUUUUUUUUUCGUCCUGCAUGUUCGCUGUGCAGCACUGUUUAGCGGGGGGUACGGCGUAGCCACAAUUGCGGCACACAAACGACGUGGUCCUGCAGUAUGCGUCUCUCUGAUUACCUGUUGACGCAAGGGUAGCCGAUUUGGCAAGACUGUUAUGUCAAUGUCCACACAUACAGGAACACGUGUCCGGCCUUCAGGAGUAACUAAACCUGCACAAGGCAAAAGCACUCGGUUCCUUAAUGCAUUGUACAGAGC
rnacentral:lncRNA from 1 species